GCCCGGCUAGCUCAAUCGGUAGAGCGUGAGACUCUUAAUCUCAAGGUUGGGGGUUCGAUCCCCCCGUCGGGCU